UGUCUUCAGGGCAGGGUGAAAUUCCCGACCGGCGGUUAUAGUCCGCUACCCAAGCUUCUGCUUGGUUGAUUCGUUGCAAUUACGAAACCGAUAGUUAAAGUCUAGAUGGAAGAAGAC
rnacentral:ncRNA from 1 species